rnacentral:rRNA from 1 species
UACGGGAGGCAGCAGUAAGGAAUAUUGGUCAAUGGAGGCAACUCUGAACCAGCCAUGCCGCGUGGAGGAUGAAGGUCCUCUGGAUUGUAAACUUCUUUUAUAUGGGACGAAAAAAGGCUUUUCUAAGUCGUCUGACGGUACCAUAUGAAUAAGCACCGGCUAACUCCGUGCCAGCAGCCGCGGUAAUA